rnacentral:rRNA from 1 species
CAAGGUUUCCUGCGCAACGUUCAUCGGCGCAGGGUUAGUCGGCCCCUAAGGCGAGGCCGAAAGGCGUAGUCGAUGGGAAUCAGGUUAAUAUUCCUGAGCCUGCUGGAUGUGACGGAGGCCGAAAGCCGUAUCUUCUUAUUGGAUUGAGGAUGCGGCCUGGGACUCCCAGGAAAUAGCACCAGCGUGAAGACCGUACCCCAAACCGACACAGGUGGACUGGUAGAGUAUACCAAGGCG